UGGUCGCUGGGACAGGAGAGAGACAGGGAGACUGGCAAAAUGUGACAGCUGCGGACUACGGCUCCCUCCCAGCCAGAGGAAAUCACUGGGUGUAUUUUUGGGGGGAAGGCACGGAGGCCACCUCCCUACUCCCUGUGUCUGCUUGGGGGGCGGGGCCUACAGGGGAAGUUCUGGCUCACUUCCCCAUGGAAACCAUCCUGUUAGGGGUGAAGGGUGGAGAGCCCAUGUUUCAGUCACUGAGAGCUUAGGGGAACCCUGGCUCCAGUCCCCGGCUGCUGAGGGCUGGGCUGGCAUGGAAGGCACAGCAGAUGCCCCUCAUCUUCUGCUCCUCACCCACCCCCCUCCUGGCUUUCACCCCUGCCCACCCUUUUCCCAGUGCCCCGGUCCACCUCCAGCCCCCCACCCCUGGCUGCCUGGAACAUAAACAGACUCCUAGCUUCACUUCCUGCUAUUCAGGGUCCCGCCACGCCAGGGAACAGGAAUCAAGAUUGUUUAGAUUGGGGUCUGGAUAGAACAGGCAAGGAGUCACGCAGGGCAGGGAAUUGGGGCAGCCGGCAGCCAGUGUGGGGUCUGGAGACGGAGUUCUGGGAGCUGGAAACCACAGAAUCCAGCCCCGUGAUGUAGAGCAGGUGUGAGGGGGUGGGGAGUAAGGCUCAGACAGGGCAGGAGACUUGUCCAGGGUCACAGGGCUCUCGGGAACAGCUCCAGGCGCCCACACGCCUUCCACUCUCUCUCUUGCCCCAGUAGUGGCUGCCCUACCCGGCCCCCGGUGCCCCCGUUUGGCGCUGGCUCACACCAGGCAAAAAGAAACCUCUCUGCUCUGCUCCCCCACCCCAGGAGUGACUGGUGCCAACUCUGCGCUGUUCCCUGGGCCCCUCCUGUCCCCGGAACUGUCCUGCAAAGGGUGGAGGAGGACCGGUGACACGAGGGAAGUGAAACACACCGAGACGCCCAAUGCAUGACUGUCUGCGGCUGGCCAGGGCUGGCCGAACUGCUCCAGCCGGGUCAGACGCAGAAAGCGGGGGCUCAGGCUGCAGCAAGAAGCAUCGUGGUCAGACGGCGCCCAGGACUUCCUGAAGGGUACAGAGUGUGCCAGCGUCGGUCUGGGGCCAGGUGCAUUAGCAGGAAGCAGAUGGGAGUGGAGCAUCCAGGGCUCAAACCAACACUACGUAUUCAGGAUGCUGGCUGUACCAACAACACUGGCCCCAGGGCUAAACCUUAAUGGUUUAUCUCCAUUAAAUCUCACAGCCACUCAAUGGGGAAACUGAGGCUCGGGCACUUGAGUCUGUCGCUGCUAAACCUCUAAGCGCUUGAGUUAGGCGGGGAAAGACCGGAUGGCACGGGCCUUGGCAGACACAUUGGCCCCUGCCAUCCUCAUCAGCAGGUGGACUUGGGUUUGUUUACACACCGAGACAGACAUUAUCUGUUCUGCUGUGGGUAGAAGCAAAGUAGGGGGGUAACUGGGAGACGCCUGUCAGUCUCUUUCCCUGCAGCGCAGCCGCUGUAUCAGCAGCAGCUCAUCACAGCUGUGACUGCCCUGAGGCUGCGGAAGUACUGUGUCAAACACAUCUGUCUUGCCUGCCCCUGCCCCGCAGCGGGUCUUGCCUGGACUCGGCUGCUCACAUAAGGCUGCCCUCAGGGGUCACUGCAUCAUCCCCUCAGCCCCUCCGGAGCAAGCCUGGAUGUCCUAGCCGCAGCAGCCUGCCUUCUCCCAGGGGACGGGGUUCCUGGACACACACACACACACACACACCCGCAGACACCUGGAACCUGUCUCAUUACCCCUGAUGAAGUCUGACUUACAAACGCGUACACUGAGAGAUGAGCCGUAACAACUAAUAAUAAAA